UACAGAGGGUGCAAGCGUUGUUCGGAAUUACUGGGCGUAAAGAGCGCGCAGGCGGUCGUUCAAGUCGCGUGUGAAAGCCCCCGGCUCAACUGGGGAGGGUCACGCGAUACUGAUCGACUCGAAGGCAGGAGAGGGUAGUGGAAUUCCCGGUGUAGUGGUGAAAAUGCGUAGAUAUCGGGAGGAACACCAGUGGCGAAGGCGACUACCUGGCCUGUUCUUGACGCUGAGGCGCGAAAGCUAGGGAGCAAACGGG
rnacentral:rRNA from 1 species